UACGGAGGGUGCAAGCAUUGAUCGGAAUUACUGGGCGUAAAGGGCGCGUAGGCGGCUUGACAAGUCAGAUGUGAAAUUCCGGGGCUCAACCCCGGAGCUGCAUUUGAAACUAUCGAGCUAGUGGCUAGUAAGGGAAAACAGAAUUCCACGUGUAGCGGUGAAAUGCGUAGAUAUGUGGAAGAAUACCGGUGGUGAAGACGGUUUUCUGUGCUAAGCCAGACGCUGAGGCGCGAAAGCUAGGGGAGCAAACAGG
rnacentral:rRNA from 1 species